AUAUACCCGUGUAUAAGUCGAUCUCAUGUAUAAGUCGAGUGCAGUUUUGUGACCAACAAUUGUGAAAUAUGCUAUGCCUCGUGGAUAAGUCAAGGGUAAAACUUGGGGCUAUGAAAUUCUGUGAUUUUUAUAAUUAUAUACACACACACUCAUACAAACACACACACUGCAUUAUAUACACACACUCAUACAAACACACAC
rnacentral:lncRNA from 1 species